rnacentral:rRNA from 1 species
GAUGAACGCUGGCGGCGUGCCUAAUACAUGCAAGUCGAGCGAACAGACGAGGCUCUUGCGCCUUUGACGUUAGCGGCGGACGGGUGAGUAACACGUGUAAAACCUACCUAUAAGACUGGUAUAACUUCGGGAAUCCGGAGCUAAUACCGUAGAACAUGUUGAACCGCAGGGUUCAACGGUGAAAGACGGUCGUUCUGUCACUUCUCGAUGGAUCCGCGCCGCAUUAGCUAGUUGGUAAGUUAACGGCUUACCAAGGCAACGAUGCGUAGCCGACGUGCGAGGGUGAUAGCCCACACUGGAACUGAGACGCGGUCCAGACUCCUACGAGAGGCAGCAGUAGGGAAUCUUACGCAAUGGGCGAAAACCUGACGGAGCAACGCCGCGUGAGUGAAGACGGUGCUCGGAUCGUAAAACUCUGCUAUUAGGGAAGAACCAAUGUGUACGUAAAUAUGCACGUAUUGACGGUAACUAAUAAGAAAGCCACGGCUAACUACGUG